rnacentral:siRNA from 1 species
AUAAUAAUGUCCAGAUUUCUCAAU